AAAAAAAUUAAAUGAAGUAAAACGUAAAAUAGAUACUCAUUAAAAAAAAGUAAGUAGUUCAACAAUUCCAUUAAUCAAAUACAAUGAGCUAAACAGCUACCUAAAUUGAUAGCAAGUGAUCAUUAGUGUUCUGGCUUAGUAUAGAGGUGAGCUAUAUUGUUACUAUGAAACAAUGGAAGUUAUGUUAGUGUGUCUUACACCACCUGCACUGGCCCCUGUUCUAUCCUGAAUGCAACAGCAAGGAAAGGACAGUGUUGCCAAAAGUCACCCUAAAUGGAACCUAUAU